UACGUAGGGACCAAGCGUUGUUCGGAUUUACUGGGCGUAAAGGGCGCGUAGGCGGCGUGACAAGUCACUUGUGAAAUCUCUGAGCUUAACUCAGAACGGCCAAGUGAAACUGUUGUGCUAGAGUGCAGAAGGGGCAAUCGGAAUUCUUGGUGUAGCGGUGAAAUGCGUAGAUAUGACAUAGAACACCAAUUGCGAAGGCAGCUCGUUACACGAAGAUUGACUCUGAGGCACGAAAGCGUGGGGAUCAAACAGG
rnacentral:rRNA from 1 species